rnacentral:rRNA from 1 species
UACGAAGGGGGCUAGCGUUGCUCGGAAUCACUGGGCGUAAAGGGCGCGUAGGCGGAUCUUUAAGUCGAGGGUGAAAGCCUGAGGCUCAACCUCAGAAUUGCCUUCGAUACUGGAGAUCUUGAGGCCGGAAGAGGUAAGUGGAACUGCGAGUGUAGAGGUGAAAUUCGUAGAUAUUCGCAAGAACACCAGUGGCGAAGGCGGCUUACUGGUCCGGUUCUGACGCUGAGGCGCGAAAGCGUGGGGAGCAAACAGG